rnacentral:rRNA from 1 species
AACGAACGCUGGCGGCAUGCCUAACACAUGCAAGUCGAACGAGACCUUCGGGUCUAGUGGCGCACGGGUGCGUAACGCGUGGGAACCUGCCCUUAGGUUCGGAAUAACUCCCCGAAAGGGGUGCUAAUACCGGAUAAUGUCUUCGGACCAAAGAUUUAUCGCCUUUGGAUGGGCCCGCGUUGGAUUAGCUAGUUGGUAGGGUAAAAGCCUACCAAGGCGACGAUCCAUAGCUGGUCUGAGAGGAUGAUCAGCCACACUGGGACUGAGACACGGCCCAGACUCCUACGGAGGGCAGAAGGGGGGAAUAUGGGACAAUGGGCGAAAGCCUAAUCCCGCAAUGCCGGGUGAGUGUUGAAGGCCUGAGGGUUGAAAAGCUCUUUUACCCGGGAUGAUAAUGACAGUCCCGGGAAAAUAAGCACCGGCUAACUCCGU